AGCGGCGGACGGGUGAGUAACGCGUGGGAACGUACCCUCUUCUGCGGGAUAGCCACUGGAAACGGUGAGUAAUACCGCAUACGCCCUUCGGGGGAAAGAUUUAUCGGAGGAGGAUCGGCCCGCGUUGGAUUAGGUAGUUGGUGGGGUAAUGGCCUACCAAGCCUACGAUCCAUAGCUGGUUUUAGAGGAUGAUCAGCCACACUGGGACUGAGACACGGCCCAGACUCCUACGGGAGGCAGCAGUGGGGAAUCUUAGACAAUGGGCGCAAGCCUGAUCUAGCCAUGCCGCGUGAGUGACGAAGGCCUUAGGGUCGUAAAGCUCUUUCGCCAGAGAUGAUAAUGACAGUAUCUGGUAAAGAAACCCCGGCUAACUCCGUGCCAGCAGCCGCGGUAAUACGGAGGGGGUUAGCGUUGUUCGGAAUUACUGGGCGUAAAGCGCACGUAGGCGGAUUGGAAAGUUGGGGGUGAAAUCCCAGGGCUCAACCCUGGAACUGCCUCCAAAACUCCCAGUCUGGAGUUCGAGAGAGGUGAGUGGAAUUCCGAGUGUAGAGGUGAAAUUCGUAGAUAUUCGGAGGAACACCAGUGGCGAAGGCGGCUCACUGGCUCGAUACUGACGCUGAGGUGCGAAAGUGUGGGGAGCAAACAGGAUUAGAUACCCUGGUAGUCCACACCGUAAACGAUGAAUGCCAGACGUCGGGUA
rnacentral:rRNA from 1 species